GAUGAACGCUAGCGGCAGGCUUAAUACAUGCAAGUCGAGGGGCAGCAUGACUGUAGCAAUACAGUUGAUGGCGACCGGCAAACGGGUGCGGAACACGUACAGAACCUUCCUUCGAGCGGGGAAUAGCCCAGAGAAAUUUGGAUUAAUACCCCAUAGUACAACGGAGUGGCAUCACUUUGUUGUUAAAGAUUUAUCACUUGAAGAUGGCUGUGCGGCUGAUUAGGUAGUUGGCGGGGUAACGGCCCACCAAGCCUGCGAUCAGUAACUGGUGUGAGAGCACGACCAGUCACACGGGCACUGAGACACGGGCCCGACUCCUACGGGAGGCAGCAGUAAGGAAUAUUGGUCAAUGGACGAAAAGUCUGAACCAGCCAUGCCGCGUGGAGGAUGAAGGUCCUCUGGAUUGUAAACUUCUUUUAUAUGGGACGAAAAAAAGGGUUUUCUAACUCGUCUGACGGUACCAUAUGAAUAAGCACCGGCUAACUCCGUGCCAGCAGCCGACGG
rnacentral:rRNA from 1 species